AUUGAACGCUGGCGGCAGGCCUAACACAUUCAAGUCGAACGAGUGGCGGACGGGUGAGUAAUGUCUGGGAAACUGCCCGAUGGAGGGGGAUAACUACUGGAAACGGUAGCUAAUACCGCAUCCCAUCGGAUGUGCCCAGAUGGGAUUAGCUAGUAGGUGGGGUAACGGCUCACCUAGGCGACGACCCCUAGCUGGUCUGAGAGGAUGACCAUCCACACUGGAACUGAGACACGUUCCAGACUCCGACGGGAGGCAGCAGUGGGUAAUAUUGCACAAUGGGCGCAAGCCUGAUGCAGCCAUGCCGAGUGUAUGAAGAAGGCCUUCGGGUUGUAAAGUACUUUCAGCGAGGAGGCGUUACUCGCAGAAGAAGCACCGGCUAACUCCGUGCCAGCAGCCGCGGUAAUUC
rnacentral:rRNA from 1 species